CUUUCUCUUUGUGGGACCAUGUGUCAAGUAGGAGAAGCUGUGUGUGUGCUUAAAGGAUAUAUAGUGGUGGAUGCCUCAGAAAUUGAGUAGAUUUAUUCAUUAACACAGAUGAUGUAUGAUUGCCGUUUACUUUUAUCUAAAAUAUUGGUGGCUUAAUGUUGGGUUGUAAGAUAUGACUUUUAAAAGUUACACUAUGAUGAAGUGACUUUAAUUUAUUGUGGGACUGUGAUUUCUGUUUUUGUUUUAAACAACCAACGACAAAGGGUUUCCCAUUCUUGUACGCAUGGUUGACUCUCUUAAGGUGAUGGUGCACAAUUUGUAGUGGUUUGAGUCAAGUGCGUGUUGCUUUUCUAUUACACUUGUAGUGUUAUUGGUUUUGUGCU